AUAUCAAUAAGCGAAGGAAAAGAAACCAACAGGGAUUGCCCUAGUAACGGCGAGUGAAGCGGCAACAGCUCAAAUUUGAAAUCUGGCUCCUUUGGGGUCCGAGUUGUAAUUUGUAGAGGGUGCUUUGGCGUUGGUUGUGGUCUAAGUUCCUUGGAACAGGACGUCACAGAGGGUGAGAAUCCCGUACGUGGCCGCCAGCCUCCGCCGUGUAAAGCCCCUUCGAUGAGUCGAGUUGUUUGGGAAUGCAGCUCUAAAUGGGAGGUAAAUUUCUUCUAAAGCUAAAUAUUUGCCAGAGACCGAUAGCGCACAAGUAGAGUGAUCGAAAGAUGAAAAGCACUUUGGAAAGAGAGUCAAAAAGCAC
rnacentral:rRNA from 1 species